rnacentral:rRNA from 1 species
GACGAACGCUGGCGGCGCGCCUAACACAUGCAAGUCGAACGGAGCUUAGAGAGUUUGCUUUUUAAGCUUAGUGGCGAACGGGUGAGUAACGCGUGAGUAACCUGCCCUAGAGUGGGGGACAACAGUUGGAAACGACUGCUAAUACCGCAUAAGCCCACGGUACCGCAUGGUACUGAGGGAAAAGGAUUUAUUCGCUUUAGGAUGGACUCGCGUCCAAUUAGCUAGUUGGUGAGGUAACGGCCCACCAAGGCGACGAUUGGUAGCCGGACUGAGAGGUUGAACGGCCACAUUGGGACUGAGACACGGCCCAGACUCCUACGGGAGGCAGCAGUGGGGGAUAUUGCACAAUGGGGGAAACCCUGAUGCAGCGACGCCGCGUGGAGGAAGAAGGUUUUCGGAUUGUAAACUCCUGUCGUUAGGGACGAUAAUGACGGUACCUAACAAGAAAGCACCGGCUAACUACGUG